AAAGAACUUGCUGGUGCAAGUGGAGGAUCUUGGUGAAGCUGGGAAAGUUGAUGAAGCUCAAGCUCUUAUGAAAAAGGCGAGCUCUUGAUGUUCGUAAUAAAAUUUAAGAUCUUCCAUGUAACAAUGUUGCAGUCUGUUUAAAGAAAAUUCAAAAUUGUAUCCUUUUGCCUCUUUUCCUCAGGUAGAUGAACUGAAUACUGAGAAAGCUCUGAUUCGAGCUCAGAACGGGAA
rnacentral:lncRNA from 1 species